AACGAACGCUGGCGGCAUGCCUAACACAUGCAAGUCGAACGAGACCUUCGGGUCUAGUGGCGCACGGGUGCGUAACGCGUGGGAACCUGCCCUUAGGUUCGGAAUAACUCCCCGAAAGGGGUGCUAAUACCGGAUAAUGUCUUCGGACCAAAGAUUUAUCGCCUUUGGAUGGGCCCGCGUUGGAUUAGCUAGUUGGUAGGGUAAAAGCCUACCAAGGCUACGAUCCAUAGCUGGUCUGAGAGGAUGAUCAGCCACACUGGGACUGAGACACGGCCCAGACUCAUACGGGAGGCAGCAGUGGGGAAUAUUGGACAAUGGGCGAAAGCCUGAUCCAGCAAUGCCGCGUGAGUGAUGAAGGCCUUAGGGUUGUAAAGCUCUUUUACCCGGGAUGAUAAUGACAGUACCGGGAGAAUAAGCUCCGGCUAACUCCGUG
rnacentral:rRNA from 1 species